rnacentral:rRNA from 1 species
AUUGCACAAUGGGGGGAACCCUGAUGCAGCCAUGCCGCGUGUGUGAAGAAGGCCUUCGGGUUGUAAAGCACUUUCAGUUGUGAGGAAAGGUUAGUAGUUAAUACCUGCUAGCUGUGACGUUAGCAACAGAAGAAGCACCGGCUAACUCCGUGCCAGCAGCCGCGGUAAUACGGAGGGUGCGAGCGUUAAUCGGAAUUACUGGGCGUAAAGCGCACGCAGGCGGUUUGUUAAGCUAGAUGUGAAAGCCCCGAGCUCAACUUGGGAUGGUCAUUUAGAACUGGCAGACUAGAGUCUUGGAGAGGGGAGUGGAAUUUCUAGUGUAGCGGUGAAAUGCGUAGAUAUUAGAAGGAACAUCAGUGGCGAAGGCGACUCCCUGGCCAAAGACUGACGCUCAUGUGCGAAAGUGUGGGUAGCGAACAGGAUUAGAUACCCUGGUAGUCCACACCGUAAACGCUGUCUACUAGCUGUUUGUGAGUUUAACUCGUGAGUAGCGAAGCUAACACGCUAAGUAGACGUGAGUAGCGAAGCUAAC